rnacentral:rRNA from 1 species
UACGUAGGGACCGAGCGUUGUCCGGAAUCAUUGGGCGUAAAGAGCGUGUAGGCGGCCACUUAAGUCCUGCGUGAAAUCUUGCGGCUCAACCGCAAGCGGUCGUGGGAAACUGGGUGGCUAGAGUGCGGGAGAGGAGAGUGGAAUUCCUGGUGUAGCGGUGGAAUGCGCAGAUAUCAGGAAGAACACCCGUGGCGAAGGCGGCUCUCUGGACAUUUCCUGACGCUGAGGCACGAAAGCUAGGGGAGCAAACAGG